CAACCAAGCCAAUGGCCGUUCUGGACACCCUGGGCCUACCACCAGCAAGGGCCCCCAUCUAGGACCUCGAGAUCCGGGCCAUCAGGGUACCGAUCCCGCUCUCCGCGGUACCGCCCGCCAUCUCAUAAGGAGGGCAAGGGUCUCUAGACCACAGGAGCGGGAGGGAGUGGACUCGGCACCGAGCACGGUACCGUCCCAGUCCCACACCGUGGGACAGGCCCCAGAGGAGCAACCGGUCGAUGUCAGGUUGCAGGAAGAUGAGGAUGGGCAGAAGGCCCCGACCUCUUCCUCCUCGCGGGACGAGGCAGUAGCGGGCACGACAGUGUCCGGCCCUCCCCCGAUUGAUCAUCGGGCGCACCAAGACCUGCUUCGCCGGGUAGCCCUCAAUCUGGGCUUGCAAGCGGAGGAGACUAUAGAACAGGAGGACCCCAUGAUCGACAUCCUGAGCCCGGAGGGGCCCUCCAGAGUCGCUCUCCCGAUUAUACGGACAGUGCAGUCCAACUAUAAGACGGUGUGGCAAACGCCGGCCUCCAGUGCACCAACUGCAAGAGGUGUGGAGAGAAAAUACUUCACCCCAUCUAGAGGGUUUGACUUCCUCUUUUUGCACCCGUCUCCUUGUUCGCUGGUGGUCUCGGCGGUCAACGAGCGAGAGCGUCAUGGCCAGCAAGCCCCUGCGCCCAAGGGCAAGGAGGCAAAACGAUUGGACUUAUUCGGAAGGAAAGUCUAUUCGUCUGGGGGCCUCCAGCUGAGGAUCGCUAAUCAGCAGGCGAUUCUAAAUAGGCACAAUUUUAAUUCUUGGGCAUCAGUCUCCAAGUUCAAAGACUCCUUACCGCCGGACGCAUAUCCUGAGUUCACGGCCCUGGUGGACGAGGGGAUGGCGGUGGCCAAGACCUCAUUGCAGGCCUCCCUUGACUCAGCCGACGCAGCGGCUAGAACAAUCGCGUCAGGGGUAGUGAUGAGGCGUUCGGCAUGGUUACAGGCUUCAGGCCUUCCGCCAGAGGUGCAGACCACCCUGCAGGACCUCCCGUUUGAAGGUUCGGGCUUGUUCUCCGACCAAACGGACGCCAGGCUACAUAGCCUAAAGGACUCGCGAGCAACCCUAAAGUCAUUAGGAAUGCAUACCCCGGUGACACAGCGCAAGCCCUUUAAACCUCAGCCUCCACAGAGGCAGUACCACCCUCGCCCUCGGCACGAACCAUACCGCCGUCGUGGCAGGGAUAACAGGCGGAGAUGUAACAAUACGCCUAACCAGGGUCAAGGUCACGGCCAGGGCAAGC
rnacentral:lncRNA from 1 species